CCUACGGGCGGCAGCAGUAGGGAAUUUUCGUCAAUGGGCGCAAGCCUGAACGAGCGAUGCCGCGUGAGUGAAGAAGGCCCUCGGGGCGGAAAGCUCUGUUUCGGGGGAAAAAAGGCAGCAUCAGGAAAUGGGUGCUGACUGAUGGUGCCCCGCCAGAAAGUCACGGCUAACUACGUGCCAGCAGCCGCGGUAAUACGUAGGUGGCGAGCGUUAUCCGGAUUGAUUGGGCGUAAAGGGUGCGCAGGCGGUCCUGCAAGUCUGGAGUGAAACGCAUGAGCUCAACUCAUGCAUGGCAUUGGAAACUGGAGGACUGGAGAGCAGGAGAGGGCGGUGGAACUCCAUGUGUAGCGGUAAAAUGCGUAGAUAUGUGGAAGAACACCAGUGGCGAAGGCGGCCGCCUGGACUGUUGCUGACGCUGAGGCACGAAAGCGUGGGGAGCAAAUAGGAUUAGAUACCCUGGUAGUC
rnacentral:rRNA from 1 species